ACAGAACAACACUCUCCCUGCCCCCGUUAAUCUCUCUCUUUCUCUUUUAUUUUUUACUGCUAUUGCCAAACUACAGAAGGUGUAUGGGAGGGAUAAACGUGGUGUGAUAUGGAUUUAGGGUGUAUGACAUGGAGGAAAUAGAAGCAAAGUUAUAAGAGGGUGGGGGAACUGGCACCCUAUGUUAGUAAAGUCUUGGAAGGAGAAAUGGUGUGGAUGAGAAGGGAGAGGAGUAGGUGGAUACCGAUUAUACUUGCACACACAUAUACUGGGGGGAUGGAGGUGGGUUCUUUGUUGUGUUAGUGGAAAGCAGUGUGAAGUGUGUGUGUGUGUCUUUUAGCUCCCACUUUUUCUUUUCUUUUACUUGUUAUGUCAGCCCCCAUAAGAGGGAGAGGAAAUCUGCAUGUGGCCAAUGAUUCGCAGGAUAGAGAUAGGCAUAAGCGUUAGCGUGUGUGGAGGGGGAGGACGAGGACAAAGGAUGUGGGGAGCUGGAUGGUGAGUGUGCAGAGUUGAUGGUAGGAGAAACGGUCUAAAGACUGUGGUGAAGAGUGUGGUGGAGGGAAGGGAGGAUUGUGUGAGAGCCUGUAUGGGGUUGAAAGGCUGGUGCUUCACCUUACAAGAAGAAGGGUGCACGAAGCAGCAUUCCCGGCAAGAAGAGGAUUCCCACGGCAUCGGUUACACGCGCGCACACACACGCACACAUACACGCCAGCGCAGAGGGAAUAGUUUUGGGUGGUGGGUGUUUUCUUCUUCUUCGUUGUUCGGAAGCAAUCUAACCAGGAGAAGAACACUGAGCCCUUUUCCUUCC
rnacentral:lncRNA from 1 species